AUCAGACUAUAAUUCGAGGCUUCCAAGUUAACUCCAAGCUUCGUUUCUAGAUCGUGCUACGAGUCCAACAAUGGUGGAACAUGAGAUAAAAUCCUCCAAAGGCUUAUUGAAUGCUUCCCACUUCAAAAAAGUAAUCCAAAGUGCUUGUAACUUCUUUGCUUGGCUGAAAGUCAAUCGUGUUGUAGGUGUAGCAAUGUAUGUUUAUUAUCCCCCUUUUAGAAAAUUCUUCAAUUAUACAACAAAAUGAGAUAAACCGCUAACAUCAGACAUCACGCACAAGAGAAUCAUUAGAAAAUUUAUCUUAAUUACGAGCAUUAUCAUUA
rnacentral:misc_RNA from 1 species